rnacentral:rRNA from 1 species
GACGAACGCUGGCGGCGUGCCUAAUACAUGCAAGUCGAGCGGACUGAUUAAGAGCUUGCUCUUAUGACGUUAGCGGCGGACGGGUGAGUAGCACGUGGGCAACCUGCCCUGUAGAUCGGGAUAACACCGAGAAAUCGGUGCUAAUACCGGGUAAUAUCUGAGAUCACAUGAUCUUAGGUUAAAAGAUGGCUCCGGCUAUCACUACAGGAUGGGCCCGCGGCGCAUUAGCUAGUUGGUAAGGUAAUGGCUUACCAAGGCGACGAUGCGUAGCCGACCUGAGAGGGUGAUCGGCCACACUGGGACUGAGACACGGCCCAGACUCCUACGGGAGGCAGCAGUAGGGAAUCUUCCGCAAUGGACGAAAGUCUGACGGAGCAACGCCGCGUGAGUGAUGAAGGGUUUCGGCUCGUAAAGCUCUGUUGUUAGGGAAGAAACAGUACCGAACGAACUAGGUCGGUACCUUGACGGUACCUAACCAGAAAGCCACGGCUAACUACGU